AUUGAACGCUGGCGGCAUGCCUUACACAUGCAAGUCGAAGGCAGCACGGGUGCUUGCACCUGGUGGCGAGUGGCGAACGGGUGAGUAAUACAUCGGAACAUGUCCUGUAGUGGGGGAUAGCCCGGCGAAAGCCGGAUUAAUACCGCAUACGAUCUACGGAUGAAAGCGGGGGACCUUCGGGCCUCGCGCUAUAGGGUUGGCCGAUGGCUGAUUAGCUAGUUGGUGGGGUAAAGGCCUACCAAGGCGACGAUCAGUAGCUGGUCUGAGAGGACGACCAGCCACACUGGGACUGAGACACGGCCCAGACUCCUACGGGAGGCAGCAGUGGGGAAUUUUGGACAAUGGGCGAAAGCCUGAUCCAGCAAUGCCGCGUGUGUGAAGAAGGCCUUCGGGUUGUAAAGCACUUUUGUCCGGAAAGAAAUCCUUGGCCCUAAUACGGUCGGGGGAUGACGGUACCGGAAGAAUAAGCACCGGCUAACUACGUG
rnacentral:rRNA from 1 species